rnacentral:rRNA from 1 species
UACGUAGGGGGCAAGCGUUGUCCGGAUUUAUUGGGCGUAAAGAGCGUGUAGGCGGCUUUACAGGUCCGUUGUGAAAACUCGAGGCUCAACCUCGAGACGCCGGUGGAAACCGUAAGGCUAGAGUCCGGAAGAGGAGAGUGGAAUUCCUGGAUGUAGGCGGUGAAAUGCGCAGGAUAUCAGGAAGAACACCCGUGGCGAAGGCGGCUCUCUGGGACGGUACUGACGCUGAGACGCGAAAGCGUGGGGAGCGAACAGG